rnacentral:rRNA from 1 species
AAAUUGAAGAGUUUGAUCAUGGCUCAGAUUGAACGCUGGCGGCAGGCCUAACACAUGCAAGUCGAGCGGCAGCGGAAAGUAGCUUGCUACUUUGCCGGCGAGCGGCGGACGGGUGAGUAAUGUCUGGGAAACUGCCUGAUGGAGGGGGAUAACUACUGGAAACGGUAGCUAAUACCGCAUAACGUCGCAAGACCAAAGAGGGGGACCUUCGGGCCUCUUGCCAUCAGAUGUGCCCAGAUGGGAUUAGCUAGUA